GACGAACGCUGGCGGCGUGCUUAACACAUGCAAGUCGAACGGAAAGGCCCUGCUUUUGUGGGGUGCUCGAGUGGCGAACGGGUGAGUAACACGUGAGUAACCUGCCCUUGACUUUGGGAUAACUUCAGGAAACUGGGGCUAAUACCGGAUAGGAGCUCCUGCUGCAUGGUGGGGGUUGGAAAGUUUCGGCGGUUGGGGAUGGACUCGCGGCUUAUCAGCUUGCUGGUGGGGUAGUGGCUUACCAAGGCUUUGACGGGUAGCCGGCCUGAGAGGGUGACCGGCCACAUUAGGACUGAGGGACGGCCCAGACUCCUACGGGAGGCAGCAGUGGGGAAUAUUGCACAAUGGGCGGAAGCCUGAUGCAGCAACGCCGCGUGCGGGAUGACGGCCUUCGGGGUGUAAACCGCUUUCGCCUGUGACGAAGCGUGAGUGACGGUAAUGGGUAAAGAAGCACCGGCUAACUACGUG
rnacentral:rRNA from 1 species